rnacentral:tRNA from 1 species
GCCGAGAUAGCUCAGUCGGUUAGAGCAGCGGAAUCAUAAUCCGCGUGUCGGGGGUUCGAAUCCCUCUCUCGGCA